UACGUAGGGUGCAAGCGUUGUCCGGAAUUAUUGGGCGUAAAGAGCUCGUAGGCGGUCUGUCGCGUCGGCUGUGAAAUCCCGGAGCUCAACUCCGGGUCUGCAGUCGAUACGGGCAGACUGGAGUUCGGCAGGGGAGACUGGAAUUCCUGGUGUAGCGGUGAAAUGCGCAGAUAUCAGGAGGAACACCGGUGGCGAAGGCGGGUCUCUGGGCCUUACCUGACGCUGAGGAGCGAAAGCGUGGGGAGCAAACAGG
rnacentral:rRNA from 1 species